UAGAAAUGGUGGGUAAUACUGUAUAAUCCCUGCGGGGGAAAGAUUUAUCGCUAUUAGAUGAGCCUAUGUUAGAUUAGCUAGUUGGUAGGGUAAAGGCCUACCAAGGCAGUGAUCUAUAGCUGGUCUGAGAGGAUGAUCAGCCACACUGGAACUGAGAUACGGUCCAGACUCCUACGGGAGGCAGCAGUGGGGAAUAUUGGACAAUGGGCGCAAGCCUGAUCCAGCUAUGCCGCGUGAGUGAGGAAGGCCUUAGGGUUGUAAAACUCUUUCAGUGGGGAAGAUAAUGACGGUACCCACAGAAGAAGUCCCGGCAAACUCCGUGCCAGCAGCCGCGGUAAUACGGAGGGGGCAAGCGUUGUUCGGAAUUAUUGGGCGUAAAGGGCAUGUAGGCGGUUCGGUAAGUUAAAGGUGAAAUGCCAGGG
rnacentral:rRNA from 1 species